UGGGGAAUUUUGGACAAUGGGCGAAAGCCUGAUCCAGCAAUGCCGCGUGUGUGAAGAAGGCCUUCGGGUUGUAAAGCACUUUUGUCCGGAAAGAAAUCCUUGGCUCUAAUACAGUCGGGGGAUGACGGUACCGGAAGAAUAAGCACCGGCUAACUACGUGCCAGCAGCCGCGGUAAUACGUAGGGUGCAAGCGUUAAUCGGAAUUACUGGGCGUAAAGCGUGCGCAGGCGGUUUGCUAAGACCGAUGUGAAAUCCCCGGGCUCAACCUGGGAACUGCAUUGGUGACUGGCAGGCUAGAGUAUGGCAGAGGGGGGUAGAAUUCCACGUGUAGCAGUGAAAUGCGUAGAGAUGUGGAGGAAUACCGAUGGCGAAGGCAGCCCCCCUGGGGCCAAAUACUGACGCUCAUGCACGAAAGCGUGGGGAGCAAAACAGGAUUAGAUACCCUGGGUAGUCCACGCCCUAAACGAUGUCAACUAGUUGUUGGGGAUUCAUUUCCUUAGUAACGUAGCUAACGCGUGAAGUUGACCGCCUGGGGAGUACGGUCGCAAGAUUAAAACUCAAAGGAAUUGACGGGGUCAUAGCUGUUUCCU
rnacentral:rRNA from 1 species